rnacentral:rRNA from 1 species
GACGAACGCUGGCGGCGCGCUUAACACAUGCAAGUCGAGCGAAGCGGCGGACGGGUGAGUAACACGUGAGUAACCUGCCUUAGACAUUGGGAUAGCCUCGGGAAACCGGGAUUAAUACCAAAUGGUCUAAGAUGGACUCGCGUCCCAUUAGCUAGUUGGUGAGGUAACGGCCCACCAAGGCGACGAUGGGUAGCCGGCCUGAGAGGGUGAACGGCCACAUUGGAACUGAGAAACGGUCCAAACUCUACGGGAGGCAGCAGUGGGGAAUAUUGCACAAUGGAGGGAACUCUGAUGCAGCGACGCCGCGUGAACGAAGAAGGCUUUCGAGUCGUAAAGUUCUUUCAGUCGGGAGGUGUCAAGUUUAAUAACCUUGGCAAUUGAGUUAGACAGAAGAAGCACCGGCUAACUCCGUGCCAGCCGCCGCGGUAAUAC